CGUCACACCAUGGGAGCGGGUUCUGCCAGAAGUAGUUAGCCUAACCGCAAGGAGGGCGAUUACCACGGCAGGGUUCGUGACUGGGGUGAAGUCGUAACAAGGUAGCCGUAUCGGAAGGUGCGGCUGGAUCACCUCCUUU
rnacentral:rRNA from 1 species